rnacentral:rRNA from 1 species
CCUACGGGUGGCAGCAGUGGGGAAUAUUGGGCAAUGGGCGCAAGCCUGACCCAGCAAUGCCGCGUGAAGGAAGAAGGCUUUCGGGUUGUAAACUUCUUUGACAGGGGAAGAGCAGAAGACGGUACCCGGAAAACAAGCCACGGCUAACUAAGUGCCAGCAGCCGCGGUAAUACGAAGGUGGAAAGCGUUGUCCGGAUUUACUGGGUGUAAAGGGCGUGUAGCCGGGAAGGCAAGUCAGAUGGGAAUUCCGGUGGCUCAACCUCCGAAUUGCAUUUGAAACUGUUUUUCUUGAGUACGGGAGCGGCAGACGGAAUUCCUUGUGUAGCGGUGAAAUGCGUAGAUAUCACGAGGAACCCCGGUGGCGAAGGCUGUCUGCUGGACAGCAACUGACGGUGAUGCGCGAAAGCGUGGGGAGCAAACAGGAUUAGAUACCCUUGUAGUC